UUUACCGUUCUGUAUACCAACAAAGGUGGGUUGGCAUAAAUGUGCCAAGGUUUACACUGAUUCCCGGGAAAGGAACUCGGCAAAAUGCUAGCGUGACUUCGGAGCAAGCUAGGUCAAACCAACGUUUGACGGCACAAAAUAGUAGGUGAGGACUGUUUAGUAAAAACACAGGACUUUGCGAAGAAUUACCAUGUAUAAAGUCUGACGUCUGCCCGGUACAAGGAGAUAAAUUUGUUUGGUUUUUUGCUGGAUGGAUUAAGGACUUGUAAACGGCAGCCAUAACUCUGAUGGUUCUAAGGUAGCGAAAUUCCUUGGCCUAUAAUUGAGGUCCUGCAUGAAUGACGUAACGAUCGCCUAACUGUCUCUCCCGGGACGUGGGCGAAUUUGACAUUCUCGUGAAGAGGCGAGAUUCUAAACACGGGACAACGAGACCCUGUGCACCUUUACUUUUAGCAGCUAUUUACAAAAAUUUGUAAUUUGUUCAGAAUAGGUGUGAGUUUUUUUACAACAAGUGAGAUAGCACCCUGAUUAUGGAUUUUGUAUAGAAUUUUUAAUUUUAAAAGUUUCAAUUUAGUUGCAAGAGAGUUUCUCUGGGGCGGAGGCCUCCAAAAUAGUAUCGGGGGUGUGCCAAGGUUUGCAUACAGUAUAAUAUACUUUAAAUAAAAUGGUAACUCAUAAAGCAAGCUUAACUGUAAGGUUUACAAACCAAGCAGACACGCAAGUGGGCAGUAGUGAACGUGCUUAAAGAUGUGGAAUUUAAGUAUAUCAACGGAUUAAAGGUACGCCAGGGAUAACAGGCUUAUUUUCCGCAAGAGUCCAUAUCGACCGGAAAGUUUGGCACCUCGAUGUCGGCUCAUCGCGUCCUGCUGCUGUAGAAGGUAGCAAGGGUUAGGCUGUUCGCCUAUUAAAGCGGUACGUGAGCUGGGUUUAUUCCGUCGUGAGACAGGAAGGUUCUUCUCUGUGUUUAGACUUUAAUCGACCUAUGUUAAAGCCUUUGAGUACGAAAGGACCUAAAGGUUCGCACCUCUGGUCUACCAGUUGUAAAUUUAUUUGCACCGUUGGGCAGCUAAGUGCGCAAGCAGUAUAACUGAAAGCAUCUGAAGUUAGAAAACUGUACAUAGACAAGUCGCAAAAAAAGCAAUAGACUAUUGCAUUAAUCGGUAUUAAGUAUUGAAUUGCUUGAAUAUACGAAA
rnacentral:rRNA from 1 species